UAGGGAAUCUUCCGCAAUGGGCGAAAGCUUGACGGAGCAACGCCGCGUGAGUGAUGAAGGUCUUCGGAUCGUAAAACUCUGUUAUUAGGGAAGAACAAAUGUGUAAGUAACUAUGCACGUCUUGACGGUACCUAAUCAGAAAGCCACGGCUAACUACGUGCCAGCAGCCGCGGUAAUACGUAGGUGGCAAGCGUUAUCCGGAAUUAUUGGGCGUAAAGCGCGCGUAGGCGGUUUUUUAAGUCUGAUGUGAAAGCCCACGGCUCAACCGUGGAGGGUCAUUGGAAACUGGAAAACUUGAGUGCAGAAGGAGAAAGUGGAAUUCCAUGUGUAGCGGUGAAAUGCGCAGGGAUAUGGAGGAACACCAGUGGCGAAGGCGACUUUCUGGUCUGUAACUGACGCUGAUGUGCGAAAGCGUGGGGAUCAAACAGG
rnacentral:rRNA from 1 species